CCUAGUGUUGGAUGGAAAUUAUUGUAUUUUGAGCGGUCUUUUGAGAGUGCAGGGUUGCACACUAUUGUUAUCAGCUGAUGAAGGAGUAUUGUUACUAAAAGAAAGUAUUAUAAUGUUUAUUAGUGUUUCAAUGGUUCUGAAUACGAUUAAUUGUGUGACCCUAAUAAGUAAAACUCAUGCACUUAGUCUUUUUCUAUAUUCGAAUUUUCCUAUACAGGUUUAUUCUGAAAAGAAUUGUUGAAUAAGUAAAAUGACAAUUAUAUUUUGGUGCCGCUAUUGGAGAUAGAUAAUAACAUUGAAUGUUAGGAAUUAACUGCCAGUUUUGUUAGUUGGAAAAUAGGAAGCAAAUUCAGCAGAAUAUAAUGAAAGAGUAUGGUUAUUAAGAAUGAGAACUUAAUAGUACAGAGAAUACGGCAGUCGAAAGAAAGAAUAGAA
rnacentral:lncRNA from 1 species